UGAAUUGACGGGGAGCACCACAACGGGUGGAGCUUGCGGUUUAAUUGGAUUCAACGCCGGAAAUCUUACCGGGACCGACAGCAAUAUGAAGGCCAGGCUGAAGACUUUGCCGGAUUAGCUGAGAGGUGGUGCAUGGCCAUCGUCAGUUCGUACUGUGAAGCAUCCUGUUAAGUCAGGCAACGAGCGAGACCCACGCCCACAGUUGCCAGCGUACUCUCCGGAGUGACGGGUACACUGUGGGACCGCCGCUGCUAAAGCGGAGGAAGGAAUGGGCAACGGUAGGUCAGUAUGCCCCGAAUAUCCCGGGCUACACGCGAGCUACAAUGGUUGGUACAAUGGGUAUCUACCCCGAAAGGGGACGGAAAUCUCCUAAAACCAAUCUUAGUUCGGAUUGAGGGCUGCAACUCGCCCUCAUGAAGCUGGAAUCCGUAGUAAUCGCGUUUCAACAGAACGCGGUGAAUACGUCCCUGCUCCGGUU
rnacentral:rRNA from 1 species